AUGCUUGCUGGGCUGGGCUCCGAGUUCGAGCCUCUUGUCGUGUCGAUCACGGCACGUGAUGACCCCGUGAGCCUCAACAGCUUUUAUGCAUUUCUUCUCAGCGCUGAAAUUCGUCUUGAGCAGCAAAACUCAACUGGAGAGAUCCAUCCCUCCGCGAACGCUGCAGCACGUGGCAAUGGUGCACAUGGCGGGCAAGGCGGACAAGCUCGUGGUUGUGGUGGGCGUGGUCGCGGCAAUGGGCGCUCCAACCUGAAGUGUCAGGUGUGUGGCAAGUUCGGCCAUGACGCGCUCCACUGUCGCAAUUGCUUCAACCACACGUACCAGCCGGAGGAGCACCGCGAGCGCUCCGACAACGUCGCCAACACCGGCUCCUACUCCGUGGACAUGGACUGGUACGUGGACACCGGUGCCACCGACCACCUGGCGAACGAUCUCGACCAUCUCACCGUCCAUGAGCGCUACGGUGGCAAGGACAAGGUGCACGUCGCCAAUGUGGCAGGACUGAGCAACAAGGAAGGUUCUUCUUCGCAGUAG
rnacentral:rRNA from 1 species